UGAUACAAGAUGUUUAUAGAGAGAGGAGAGGCCUGUUAUACAAGAGUGUUUAUAGAAAGAGGCUGUGAUGAGAUGUUAUACAAGAUGUUUAUAGAAAGAGGCUGUGAUGAGGCUGUUAUACAAGAGGCUUAUAGAAAGAGGCUGUGAUGAGGCUGUUAUACAAGAUGUUUAUAGAAAGAGGAGAGGCGCUGUGAUACAAGAUGUUUGUCUGUUUUUUUAAGCAAAACUUCCUUUUUGCCUGAGUAACCUCU
rnacentral:lncRNA from 1 species